rnacentral:rRNA from 2 species
UACGAAGGGUGCGAGCGUUGUUCGGAAUUACUGGGCGUAAAGGGUUUGUAGGCUGAAAUGUAAGUCAAGUGUGAAAUCCCCGAGCUAAACUUGGGACGUGCAUUUGAAACUGUGUUUCUUGAGUAUCGUAGAGGGUGGUGGAAUUGUAGGUGUAGGAGUGACAUCCGUAGAGAUCUGCAGGAACAUCAGAGGCGAAGGCGACCACCUGGCCGAUGACUGACGCUGAGGAACGAAAGCGUGGGGAGCAAACAGG